UACGGGGGGAGCAAGCGUUGUUCGGAUUUACUGGGCGUAAAGAGCGCGCAGGCGGUCGGAUAAGUCGAAUGUGAAAGCCCCUGGCUCAACCAGGGAGGGUCAUUCGAUACUGUUCGACUCGAAGGCAGGAGAGGGAAGUGGAAUUCCGGGUGUAGUGGUGAAAUGCGUAGAUAUCCGGAGGAACACCAGUGGCGAAGGCGACUUUCUGGCCUGUUCUUGACGCUGAGGCGCGAAAGCUAGGGGAGCGAACGGG
rnacentral:rRNA from 1 species